rnacentral:rRNA from 1 species
CUACGUAGGGGGCGAGCGUUGUCCGGAAUGAUUGGGCGUAAAGGGCGCGUAGGCGGCCCGGUAAGUCUGGAGUGAAAGUCCUGUUUUUAAGAUGGGAAUUGCUUUGGAUACUGUCGGGCUUGAGUGCAGGAGAGGUAAGUGGAAUUCCCAGUGUAGCGGUGAAAUGCGUAGAGAUUGGGAGGAACACCAGUGGCGAAGGCGACUUACUGGACUGUAACUGACGCUGAGGCGCGAAAGUGUGGGGAGCAAACAGGAUUAGAUACCCUGGUAGUCCACACUGUAAACGAUGAAUGCUAGGUGUAGGGGGUAUCGACCCCUUCUGUGCCGCAGUCAACACAAUAAGCAUUCCGCCUGGGGAGUACGGCCGCAAGGUUGAAACUCAAAUGAAUUGGCGGGG